rnacentral:misc_RNA from 1 species
AACACUGUUAACCUGCGGUACCUGCGGAAGGAUCAUUACAAGAAGCCGAAAGGCUGCUUCAAACCAUCGCGAACCCUUCCAACGUUGCCUCGGCGGGCAGGGGUCCUCCCCGGAGGUGCCCCGCGCGCGCCGGUCCGCCUCGGCGGCCCGGCUAGCGCCCGCCGCUGGCCCCAAACUCUGUCUCUCUGUAGGAUCUCUGAGUAAAACACAAAUAAGUCAAAACUUUCAACAAUGGAUCUC